rnacentral:snRNA from 1 species
GCGCUCACUUUGGCGGCAUAUACAAUAAAAUUGGAAAGAUACAGAGAUUAGCAUGACCUCCUGCACAAAGAUGACACACGCAUUCAUGAAACUGUCCAUAAAAAAA